UUAAAUUGAAGAGUUUGAUCAUGGCUCAGAUUGAAUGCUGGCGGCAGGCCUAACACAUGCAAGUCGAACGGUAACAGGAAGAAGCUUGCUUCUU
rnacentral:rRNA from 1 species